GGAAGGAAUUUUGGACAAUGGGGGAAACCCUGAUCCAGCAACGCCGCGUGGGCGAUGAAGGUCUUCGGAUCGUAAAGCCCUUUUCUGUGGGAAGAGGCAGGACGGUACCACAGGAAUAAGUCUCGGCUAACUACGUGCCAGCAGCCGCGGUAAAACGUAGGAGGCGAGCGUUAUCCGGAUUUACUGGGCGUAAAGCGCAUGCAGGCGGUUUGGCAAGUUGGGCGUGAAAUCUCUCGGCUUAACCGGGAGGGGUCGUCCAAUACUGCGGGACUUGAGUGCAGGAGAGGGAAGCGGAAUUCCCGGUGUAGCGGUAAUAUGCGCAGAUAUCGGGAAGAACACCAGUGGCGAAGGCGGCUUUCUGGCCUGUAACUGACGCUAAGAUGCGAAAGCUAGGGGAGCGAACGGGAUUAGAAACCCGAGUAGUCC
rnacentral:rRNA from 1 species